ACACCAGCUGACUUUAAGAUCUUAACCAACUUAAAAACCAAGGGAUAACACUCAUAUAAGGACAGUUCUGACCUAUUUUAACUUAACGGUCCUCUGAACACACACACGUUAUACCAUGAGAUCACACACUCAACAAUAUCCCACAGACUCACGUGAACAAAUGUAACUUCAGAGGAUGAACAAGCAUGAAGGAUGAUUGAUCGAUGUCGAAAGCUGAGUGUCCCAAACACCAUAAAAAACGAUAAGGAUAAAAUCAUUGUUGGGAAGACGGUAUCGACCAAUCUGAUGAACCGCCUGAAGUUAACUUUCCACCAUCACUAGGGUGGCGUCCGCUCAAGACAUCAACACAUUUCUAGCUUUCCUCUUUCAUGGUAGAUCAUUAAUGUCACAGGCAGGAAUGUUGUUUCCAGAGCUUAUCAAACUUUGCCCUGAAAGUUUCAUCUUGCAGCACCAACUUCAUCGGUCUUCUGUCACAAAUAAUUUUGGGCCCGGUAGGUCAAUGGAAACCCUAAGUCUGACUGAGCAGGCUAUGAUCAUGCAUAUGAUGAGUUAUCUGACCUUAUCAUAAUAUACUUCUGAUUUGUUGACAAAAGUUUUAAAAACCUGACAGAUCCUGUAUUUACUCAUGCAAAGAAGUCCUGGAGAGAGCUGCGUGUGAGAAGAGAGGCAGAUUUUACAUUCUGACUUAUCUGGACCUUUUCCUACUGAGCCAGUUUUAAAAUUUCUGUGUGAAGUGGAGAUGAAGUGAUGCAAGAACACAGUAGGGAGUUUUGGAGAAAUUUCCCAUAAAUGGGCUGAAUAGAUGAUGUUUAGAAAAGGCAAUAACUUUCAAAACAAAAGAGCCACAAGAAAUGAAAGUAACAGAAACAAUCAAGGUUGAAGGAAGUGAAUCGUGGUGCAGAUAGCCUAAAGGUCUGUAGGCGUGCCCCAUGUACAUAUUAGCCCGGAUUCAAUUCCCUCCUGUGGUGUCUUUUGUGCAUGUGUCUUUUUGUGUCUUUUUCGGCUCUAUCUGCUGACCUACAUCUAUCAAUAAAGGCCAUACAAAAAAGCAAGAAAGUAAAUCAUUUCAGAGACAGGAAUAGCGAAGAUGUCUGCACAGCUGUUUGUUUCCCUCUGGCACUGAAAUACAUCACAAACUCUCAGUGUAUGUAUUUUUUGCUUCAUGUGCCACUGUGUUUUUGACAGAACACUUUGGAGUCAGCAGAGUGUAUCUGAUGUCAUAUCCUGCGUCCUGAGACUCAACCCUCCCUGUACCCAUCACUAUCCCUUGUCUUGCAGGGAAAAGAUUUGUGAACAAGAAACUCCAGAAAAGUUUGUGGGCAGAGCUCCUGAAAAUUACAGGGGUGCACCCUUCAAAGAGACAUGUGCACCCCUGCAUUGCAUCCAGACUUUCAAAACGCAGUAAACAAUGUCCUCGUACUUCAUUUCAACUGUCCCUGCUGUGAAAUGUUUUUAACUUCCUGGAUUAAACAUGAAACACAGCACAAGGUCCACACUGGAUUAAUGUAAACCCAAGUGAAACUGGUUAAUAUACAAAUGAUUCUAAACCAAAGGCCCUUUUCUGCCAUUGGAUAGUGAGAUUAUAGUGCAUUAAAACUCAGUAAAGCACGAUUUUUGACAGGCUAUCAGAUUUACAUUUUAUAACAACCUCAGCCUAAAAGAAAUCUUACAAUGUUAUAAUGAUAAAGAAAGUAAACUGGCUCUAUAUUGCUUCAUGAACAACCAGGAUAAAGACUACUUUCAAUUACAACAUUGUGAUAAAUUGGCUUUGAUAAUACAACACAUAACUCGAAACUCAACUUCCUCUUUCUUUAAUGAUGAAAUUGGCAGUUUGAUGGAAGUAAAGGUGGUUGAUCGGGUUGGUAAUGUUACUUCCUUUUGAGAUUACUGUUGUUCUGAAAUUCCUGCUCGCUGGGGUGCCCUGUAAGCAUUUUUUACAAAUACCCCAAAACCUUUUUGGGAUGUGGUUCGAGUUCCUUGCCUUUGUCAUGGUAAUGUCUGUAAAAUAAAUAAGACACAACAAUGGACAAGAAAACAAAUAAUGAGAGAUUGGCUUUUUCAUAGAGCACUUCUUCAAAUGUCACUGAAACUUGAAUAGCAUUUAUAACUGCAUGUGCUGUACUGGUUUGCCUCUGCCUUUGUUUAAUGCUACUACUUCUAUGAGAAAACCAGUGUUAAGACCCACUUCCACCCCACUAUGAACCAUUUUAGUUCGAUGAUGUCUGCUAUUUAACUUGUGCAGGCUAACUGUUUUAAUUCCUCCCUCUGUGUCCCUUUUUGUGUUAUUUUAAAAUAUGUCUGUUUUACCAUUUCAGGAUGACGUAAUGGGAACAUUUUGGCACUUGUUGAUUCAGGGCUCACAAAGCAACUGUCUCUGAGAGCUUAAGGGACUCCUGAGGGUUUCCAUGGUCACCAUUGUAACCCGUUUUAGCCAGUCUGCAAUCCUGAAGAAGGGAAGGGACGUUCAAAAAGCUCUAGUUACGCAGUGUCUGAUCAUCCUGCCAAGUCUUUACUGUCAUUGUUAGACCUCACUAAAUGAAUAUGUCACUUAUUAAAUGCUGGCUGUAUAAAAAGCAGUACUAUUCAGUGACUAAUAAUAAACAGGAGCUGUGUGACGGUUUCUGCUAAGCUAACAUACGCUCUCCUCAUUGUAAUUACAGACAAAGAUGUGAUUAUUUAGACAAUGAUGUGAUUAUUUACACACCAAACAGGGUUGUCUUCCACUCCUCAGUGCUCUGUCGGGUAUACUUUCCCUCUGUGCGUCCACAUAAUUGAGUCCUCAGUCACUGAGCUUGUUACACUUGAUUUUAAUGGCAGGUGAGGUGUGUUAGGUUAAUGUGUUCACAGAGGCUUGGAAUGCUAAUUGAUUGCCGGACAUUGAUUUCCAAUAAGCACAACUCACUUGCGUGUUCUCUUGUCUCUUUGAAUGGUAAAUCUCCAAUAUGACUGACUGUCUGCUGAUCUGUUUCAUCAGUCAAUGUCUACCAGCUGUUCCACGUCAGCAUGUGUGGUACAUGUGUGUGUGUUAGUCUGCUACAGCUGUCACAGGAAUGGAUUAAUGGUUUGAGCGACUGAUCAAACAUGAGUUCUGCUGAGUCUGUUCGACAGAGAGAGAGAGACAGAGAGAGAGAGAGAGAGAGACAGAUAGAGAGUGUGUGUGUCAGGCUAACUGGGUGGUGUAUAAGCUGUAAUAGCAGGUUGCAUAAUGACAGAGCUUCUGUGUUGUUGAUGUGGCUUUCCGUAGGCUGAAAUGAGGCAAGUUGAGGAUGUAGUCCAGUGUGAGUGUGUCUGUCUAAGUGUGUGUCUGUGGGAGCUGAGGCUGGUUGAAACAGGGGUUAUGUGUCUCAAAACACUAACUUCAUGGGGUUGGCGCCGUAUGUACAAUAGAGUUUUAUUUCUCUUUGUGAAACAUAAAUUGAGGAAUCACUGAAAGUCAGCACACUUCAUGUUUGAUUCUGUGCUGUGCUUUUAUGUUGUCGUAGUUUUCACGUUCAAAAGAUAACAUCUGCCUCCCUGCAACAGUUGUGUUAUAUUCCUGUCAGAAUAAGGAUGGUGUCUGUAAUGUGAGAGAUAAUGCAUAUUGAACAGGUGGUUAUGAAAAAGAGAAUACCAACAAGGUGAACCUCUGCAGGGAUAUUAGUGUCAACAUCUCUGUCCUCAUUCAGCUCUCCUUCCCAGAGCUUUACAGUUUACACACAGUUAAACAUGGCUGAAGCACUUUGUUUUGACUUUGUUGCUAUCCUCACUACUGUCUAUAGUCUGAGUUAUUCUUAGAGAUGAACUCGCUUGCUCUGCUGCUGUUGCAUGGAUUGCAGGACAAGAUGUUGCUUCACUUUUCCUUAUCAGAGAUGGUUUUGGUCCAGCAGCUCUUCAGGCUGCUUUUAUAUCUGUGCAGAGUAAAUAUCACUAUUUCAUGACCCUCAAGACCAAGUAAAGAUGGAAAUAAACAUUUUCGCCACAGUGUCAACAGGCAGAUAUAAAUUUAUAAAUAUUGCAUGUUUGAUCAAGUUAUCUCUGGUAUGCUUUGGAUAACACUAAGUUGUUUGUUGUGGGGUUUUGACCAAUCACAAUCAAGUAUAUAAGACAGCCUGGUGAUGAAGACAGUAGAAAUAAGUGUAAGACAAAGGACAGUAUAAGUUCUUGUGACUCUCACAAGUUUCUAAAAAAAAGAGGUGGAAUGGAGGCCAUAAGCCAAGAUGCCUGGCAAACAGCUACACCUUGCCCACCUUUUGGUCAAAUCAGCAACAUUUUGAUAUGAAAAACCAGCUGGCCCUGGGAAACUGUAGUUUUUUGCACAUUUUUUUAACACUACAAGAUGACUUGGUGCCCAUACAGUUCAAUAAGUAUUGAUCACCUGGCACAUUAUCUCUGAAUUAAUGAUUUUAGGGCUGGCUCUGGCUACAGCUGGAAUUUCAUUCAUUCAUUCAUUCAUUUAUUCAUUCAAUUAUUUCCUUCCUUUCUGUGUGUUUUAACUAAAGGAAAAGCUAAGUUACAGCCCAAAACUCUCAUGUAUAGAACAAAGACUAAAAGGAUUCAGAUUUGCCCCAGACAACAGUCAUUUUGUUAAGUUGGGUGACCCACUGAGUCAAAAUUUCAUUUGUUUAACACUUUGGUUCGCGGCAAAAUACCAACAAAUGAAUGUCAAUCUCCUCUGCCACAGUGUCACUUGGUUCACAAAUGUUAGCAUGCUGAAAGGAUAAGCUUUUAUGACAAGCAUGGUAACUUUACACCUGUUAUACAUUACCCUGACUAUAAAAUUAGCUCAAAGCACCUCACUGUGUACUUAUGGCCUCACAAAGCUGCUAGUGUGCAAACCCCUGAGGCCACAUAGGAGGCUUUUCACAACUUUCCAUCUCACUAUUGUCUGAUAACACCUGUUUUUUUAAUUUUUUUUUCAGGCUGCAAAAUGGGGAAAGAUUAACUCUUGUUGUAUGCACCCAUCAAAAAUACAGUUACUUUUUGUUUCACAUUUGCAGUCUCUAAAGCUGUGAACACAUCAUAAUGUGAUGAACCCACACUCAAAACUUUGCAUGAAUGCAGAGGUGGUAAAAUAUGCUGCUGCUGCUGCUCUGCUAACGCAGUGCUCUCAGUGGAUAGACUGUCUUUUUUCACAGAUUCACAAAGUGUGAGCUACAACCAAACAUAGUCUAGAAAAUUCUGAACGCCUUUUCACCAAAAACUGUCACUGUGUUCAGUGUUGGAGUCCAGUCUGUCCCCUUGUUCCUCAUAGUCCCCUGCAUGCCCUAAGCCCAUGCAGUCCUGCAUGUCCUGACUGCACCAGUCAGCAAGGACCAUGGCAAGCAGUUUUAUCAGUCUUACAGUUGCUUUUGCACAAUCUGUUUCUGUCUGAUGGGCUGUAGAGAGAGCAAAAAAGAGAGAGAGGCACACACAAACAGAUGUUAGCAAACAGGACCUGUAGGAGUGUCCAAACAAGGACUGUCAGAUCAGUUCCUGCAGAGCGAUACCACUCAGAUCCUUCCUGCAUUCCUCAGACCUCCUCAACUCAGCAGCAUUUUUUACAGCCCACAGCAAGUCAUGUGCUUUGUUCUAGCAUGCAUAAGUGUGUGUGUGUGUGUGUGUGUGUGUGUGUGUGUGUGUGUGUGUGUGUGUGUGUGUGUGUGUGUGUGUGUGUGUGUGUGUGUGUGUGUGUGUGUGUGUGUGUGUUUGUGUGAAAGAGAGGAAAAGAGAGAAGGACAGCGAGAGGAAACAAGAGACAGAACACGAGAGAAUUGUUUUUGCACCGUAUAAUGUCUCUCCCACAGGUGAUGAUAACUUAGUUUCAUUUUUACAAAAGGGCUGCUGAUAAUAUACUCUGGACUUGAUUUUGUGGAUGGGGAUUUACUGUGGGUGAGUUUGUGAAUCAGGGUCUGCAAACACAAUGCUGCUCUAAUUGUGCAUGCAUCCGUGUCCACUCAGUUUUAGACACUUGCUAUUUCCCUCUGAAAGGCGGAAACAUAUGACAUCUGUAUUUCAGCCUUUUAGAUUACAAUGGGAGUCAGUUAGCGUCAGGUUUGAAAUAAAGACCUUUCAGGGUUGCUCAUUUGGUCCUCUUUUAUUCUCAGCCCGCUCUCCUAACACUGCACUUUGACUGAUUUAACAUUUGGUUAGUCACAGCUCAGUGGGGUCCAAAAUCCUAACGGACCAGAGCUCUGAGUCAUCUGUGUGUGUGGGGGAUUGAUGUUGAACCAGCUUCUUAUUUUCUGAAUGAGUUCAUAAGGACUUCUAGAGACAGUCAGAGGCCCAACAGAAGACUGAAAAGCUAGCUGUGUAAUGUAAAAAGAAAAAAAAAAGCAUAACAAUGUCUUUUGACUUACUAAAUCACUUUGCAACAGCUUAGUCAUAUGUCUGGGUCUAAAAAGGGCAUUUCAGAGGGGCUGAGUCACUCAGAAGUAAAGAUGAAAAGAGUUUCACCAAUCUCUGAUGAAGCUUUGAAUCUUCCAAUCAAAUUUGCAUGAAAUAUGAAGAUUUUACCAUCUACUGCUUAAAAGAUUCAGAGGAUUCAAAGUAAUCUCUGUACAAAAGGCUCAAAACUAACCCCGGAUAGCCUUAGGCUCUGAGGUGGUAAAAAUUAACUUGAAUCUCUAUUGGAAAUCAUUGCAUGGCUUCAAAAUCACUUCCAAAACACACUGUUUGUGGACACAUCUUACCAUUACAUCCACAAAUACAGGUAAACUGUACUUGCAAAUAUAUAUAAUCCCGAUUUAAAAGCUCAGGUGACUCCUCUGAGCCACAAGUCCACUCAAGAUGGACUGAGGCAAAGUGGAAAACUGUCCUGUGGUCUGACAAAUCAAAGCACAACAUCCAUUUUGGGAAUCACGGACGCCACAUCCUGCUGCAAAGAGGAGAGGGACCGCCCAGCUUGUAAUCAGCGUAUAGUUCAACAGCCAGUAUCUAUGAUGGUACGAGUGCCCAAAGUGCUCCAUAAAUGCUGAACAAUAUAAACAGGUUUAAAAGAAACAUGUGCUGCCAACAAGACAAGAUCUUUUUCAGAAAAAAAAAAAAACUUGCAUAAUACAACAAGACAAUGCCAAACCACGUUCUGCAGGUAUUGCAACAGCAUGGCUCAGUAGAAGAAGAGUCUUGGUGCUUGACUGAAAAGGUGUGGUUCAUAUGAAACAAAGAAAUAUGAUGAAGGAGAUCCUGAUUUGUUGAGCAGCUGGAACUCAUAUCCGAGAAAAAUGGGACAACAUUUUCACUCUGACAACCCAAGAAACUGGUGCAGCUUUUUUUCAGCUACACCAUUUGAUAUGUUGUCUUUGUACUAUUUUGAAUUAAAUAUAAGCCUUAUAUGAUUUGCAAACCACCAAUAUCUAAUUUUAUUAAUAUUUAAUACAGUUAAUUUUUUGGGAUCUUGGAUUGUAUCUAUUAAUGCUUCCUUGUUUCGCUGUGGCAGGUAGACUUAAUGAAAUGUAGGCUACAUUGAGAGGGUGUUGGGACUUGUGAAAAACCUUUUUGGGGAUCUCAGUUGAGUAAAGAGGGAGAGAGGGGGAGAGACGUUAGUUGGUGGGAGGGCCAAGGGGGGUUGGAGCUUGAAAUUUGUGCAACAGGGCAAAGCAAACAGGGGUGGGCGGUGGGGUCUGUCACUAUUCAGAUUCUUCCAGGCCAUGUGAAUAGAGAAGACGGAGCGACAGGGAGGGAAUGUGAGUGUGAAUGGGCCGCUUCUCAGAGCUCCUGUGUGCCAGCGCUGCACAGAGUUGGCACAGAGAUGCCAUUGUCAGAGACUAACGAGCUGAGGGACACUUCAUUCUCCAGCCCAAAUGAGCAUCUGUUUACUGAGUUUACUGGGAGCGUUUACACUCUCCAUGCAAGCUUACAGAGAGCCGUCUGUGUGCUGUGACGUCAGACUUUCGUUGAGUUUUUAUCACUACCGAUGACCAGACUCUCUACGUCUUACAGUGAUCAUAUGAAAAAUUACUCUUAUGUGAGUUUAAAUGACAUGAGCCACUAUUGUUUGUGUGCAGCAAAAGGAGUCAGUGUUUCAAGUGCCGGUCAAUCUGCACGAGUGUGCAAGUGUGUGUGUGUGUGUGUGUGUGUGUGUGUGUGUGUGUGUGUGUGUGUGUGUGUGUGUGUGUGUGUGUGUGUGUGAUAAACAAAUCUCAUGAAUGUACCAAUUAGCAAGUUCAAAGUCGUAUUUUAGGAGUUUUAUCUUAGCUAUAUGAAUACUUAGAGGUACUCAGAACUUUUAGUUUGCACUAUGAUCAAUAGUCUUAAGAGUUUUGACUCUUUACCUCAGAUUCUUUACACAAGAUUCUGUUCAUCCCGUCCUCAAACAUUUAGGAUGUUAAGAACCAAGAGGUUUAUGUUUGACCAAAGUGGUUAGCUUUUGUGUCUUUUAAAGUAAGUAAAAUACAUGUCGACUACAUGCUUGGUUUUGGCCCCUGUCAGGGUUGAUCUGGGUUUGGAGUCCCCAGAAUUACAGUAUUGCUGUUUUGCAGAUGAUGUGGUUCUGUUGCCAUCAGUCGACUGGGACAGCUAGGACAAUUCGCAAAACAUUUAAUCAUUCUUGAUGGUAAAAAAGGCGUCUUUUGACAAGAACAACAGGUUUAUGUUCAUAAAUAGUACCACAUGAAAACUUUAUACCAGAAUUCUGGUGUAGAGGAUGAAUUUAAUAAUUUUGAACGUUGUUGAUUUGGUUUUCUGUUUUUCUUGUACAGUUGCAUGUAUCAUAUUAAAUGCAACUUAUUUUUUGAGUAUCAUUGUGCAUGAAGUUUUGUCUUUCCUGCUGUCAUUGUUCGGUUGGUUUGGCAUCCUGGGUCAGAAGCCAGCUAUUGAUGAAUUGAAAGUAGUGAAUGGAUUAAGUUUUUCUACUUCUGAAAUGUAAGUCAUGAGUGUUAACCUAAGUUGACAAAGCUGUUUGCAUUUGCAUGAUGUAUGAGUACAUAAUGUACAUGUACUGUUUGCGUGUUUGAACUGGAAGCAGGACAGACAGUGGGUAAGCAGACAGACAGACAUCAACAUUGUUAGCUGCACCUGUAAGCUUGUAUUGCUUAUAUUGUAAAAUGAUCACAUGGUAUUGCAAACUUGAAGUACUUUGUUGAUGUUUUGACUCAAUUAAACAAAAGUGCAUAUUACUGUUGACUUUUUUAAUUGACAUGUGUCAUUCAAAAGCAGAAGAAAGCUGCAAUAGCUUAACUGUGAAAUGCACAGGAGUGGAAAAAAUUCACACAAUUCAGGCUUAAAGCCAUUAUGAGAGACUUUCUGGUUUUCUCAUUUUGUACAAGGUACUACCUCUCAUCUCUUUGCUGAUUUUGUCAUGUAAAUGUAAAGGAGUGUUUGUUUUUCCUGGAGAAAUUUCCCCUGUGUCAUUUUGACAGUCAAAUGUGUCUUUGCUGAGAAAAUUUCACAAAAGUAAAAGUCUGUUUAAACAGUUUGCAGUUAAUCAGUUCACCAGACACCGCUGGCCAUUUUGAAGGUCAUGAAGCAGUAUUACUAUAACUUUAAAUAUGUAUCUUAACCAGCUAAUAUAUCCUCACAGUGGCUUUAGCUGCAUCUGGAUGAAUGCAUAUAAGAUUGACAGCCCUGUUGAACGUGUUUUUGGUAAGCAUUUCAUUUCUUAGCAGCUUGAUGUUUGUAAAAAUCAUAAUAUUUUUCUUCUUUAUACCUCCUUGUAUCGCUUUAUAUCUCAUUACAUGCAUUGUAUUGCUUUGCACUGUGUUCAUGAUGCUAAAUGUACAACAAAUAAUCAUAGUUACUUCUCUGUAAUUGGUGAAAAUUACAAUCCUUGGGGUGGAAAAUAAGGUGAUUUCUAUAGUCCUAAUGCUUCAUGAAAUUUGAGUAACACUGAAUCAAACAUAUUUUUUCUACAAUUGAGGUGUCUAGUUUUUAAACGUGUCAAACCUUUUUCCCACCCAUCCCAUUAAGAAGAACUGUGUUUUUGAGGAUGUCACAUAUUUACAUCAUACAACCAUCAGCGUGCUCAGCUGAUCCAUUCACCUUCCUCUCAGAGUUACACCUCAAGGCAUCACACAUCUCCUCCUUUCCUCCUCUCUUCUUCAAUUGUCUCCUUGUCUCUUUCAGUGCUCAGAAUUGUCUUAUAUAACUCUGCUUUCCGUCCCUUUUUUCCCUGUCUUCAAUCAACAUUGUUUUUUUUUUUUUUUAUCUUAUUCUCUUUCUCUUCAAAUCUACCUCCCCCCUCUUACCCUAGUUAUUAAUAAACCCUGAAAUCUAUUUCCUGGUGCUCUGGUUUUUAAUGAAACUAUAACUCUCUGUUCUGCAUGGAUCAGUGGUGACCAGUAAAAUAUUUAGUCAGUUAUUGAACCUGCUUUGUUAGCUCUCUGUACUGUCUCUGAAGCUGUGAGGUUACGCAGUGAAAGGUCAACUACCUCUGUGUGCAGAGCUGUAUAAUUAAAGUGAGACUGACUUUG